rnacentral:rRNA from 1 species
UACAGACCAAGUUGAUAAGAGCUAUUGGUGGAUGCCUUGGCAUUGACAGGCGAAGAAGGACGCGAAUACCUGCGAAAAGCUCCGGCGAGCUGGUGAUAAGCAACGACCCGGAGGUAUCCGAAUGGGGAAACCCGGUAGAGUAAUAGUCUACCAUUGUAUACUGAACACAUAGGUAUACAAAGCGACACCUGCCGAACUGAAACAUCUUAGUAAGCAGAGGAAAAGAAAUCGAAGAGAUUCCCUGUGUAGCGGCGAGCGAAAGGGGAAGAGCCUAAACCGAGCUGAAGAAGCGAGGGGUUGUAGGGUUGAGGAAAAAGGAUCAGGACUCCUAGUUGAACACAUCUGGAAAGGUGGAUGAUACAGGGUGAUAGUCCCGUAGACGAAAGGAGAGAAAGACCGACCUCAAUACCUGAGUAGGACUAGACACGUGAAACCUAGUCUGAAUCUGGGGAGACCACUCUCCAAGGCUAAAUACUAGUCAAUGACCGAUAGUGAACCAGUACUGUGAAGGAAAGGCGAAAAGAACCCUUGUUAAGGGAGUGAAAUAGAACCUGAAACCAAUAGCUUACAAGCGGUCGGAGACCUAUGGCCCGUAAGGGUUAAGGUUGACGGCGUGCCUUUU